rnacentral:rRNA from 1 species
UACGGGAGGCAGCAGUGGGGAAUAUUGCACAAUGGGCGCAAGCCUGAUGCAGCCAUGCCGCGUGUAUGAAAAAGGCCUUCGGGUUGUAAAGUACUUUCAGUCGUGAGGAAGGUGUUAAGGUUAAUAACCUUAGCAAUUGACGUUAGCGACAGAAGAAGCACCGGCUAACUCCGUGCCAGCAGCCGCGGUAAUACGGAGGGUGCGAGCGUUAAUCGGAAUUACUGGGCGUAAAGGGCACGCAGGCGGUUAAUUAAGUUGGAUGUGAAUCCCCGGGCUUAACCUGGGAAUGGCAUUCAAGACUGGUUAGCUAGAGUCUUGUAGAGGGGGUAGAAUUCCAUGUGUAGCGGUGAAAUGCGUAGAGAUGUGGAGGAAUACCGGUGGCGAAGGCGGCCCCUGGACAAGACUGACGCUCAUGUGCGAAAGCGUGGGGAGCAAACGAGGGAUUAGAUACCCGU